rnacentral:piRNA from 1 species
UGGUCUAGCAAUAAUAUUCAGUCCUUA